CGGCGAGCGAACCGCGCAAAGCCCAACUUGAAAAUCUCCCUUGGAGAAUUGUAGUCUAUAGAAGUACCCUCUGCAACGGGCUGAGCUAAAGUCUCCUGGAAAGGGGCGUCAGAGAGGUGAGAACCCCGUAAGCUCACGCUUAGUUGCCUCACGAGGUGCUUUCAAAGAGUCGGGUUGCUUGGGAAUGCAGCCCAAAUUUGGUGGUAAAUCCCAUCUAAGGCUAAAUAUUGGCGAGAGACCGAUAGCGAACAAGUACCGUGAGGGAAAGAUGAAAAGAACUUUGAAAAGAGAGUUAAAAAGUGCUUGAAAUUGUUGAGGGGGAAGCGUUUGAAUGCUAGGGUGCGCCUAGGCUUAUGGGUCCUUAACGGGGCUCUGUAUGUGCUAGGUGCUGGCCAGCAUGGGUUAGGCUAGUGGGAUAAAAGCUGGGGUUGAUACCCGGUCUAUGCCACUGGCUUGACCAAGGCGUGAAGACUGCCCUUGUCCUUCGGGAACUGCAGUCUCAAGAUGCUGGCAAAAGGCUUUCAACCGACCCGUCUUGAAACACGGACCAAGGAGUCUAACAUGUAUGCGAGUUGGUGGGUGGAAAACCCAUGAAGCGUAAGGAAACUGACUGGUGGGAUGGCCUGUGCCUGCACCAUCGACCGACCAUGCGUUUCUGCAAAAGGUUUGAGUGCGAGCAUACCUGUUGGGACCCGAAAGAUGGUGAACUAUGCCUGAGCAGGGUGAAGCCAGGUGAAAACCUGGUGGAGGCUCGUAGAUGUGCUGACGUGCAAAUCGCUUUUCGGACUUGGGUAUAGGGGCGAAAGACUAAUCGAACCAUCUAGUAGCUGGUUUCCUCCGAAGUUUCCCCCAGGAUAGCUGGAGCUUAUUCGGAGUACGGUCAGGUAAAGCGAAUGAUUAGAGGUUCGGGGGAUGUAACAUCCUUCACCUAUUCUCAAACUUUAAAUAGGCCGGACGUCCAGGUUGCUUGAUUGAACCUGUGGCAUUCUAUCCGAGCUCCAAGUGGGCCAUUUUUGGUAAGCAGAACUGGCGAUGCGGGAUGAACCGAUAGUCGAGUUAAGGUGCCAAACUACGCGCUAACCUAGAUCCCACAAAGGGUGUUGAUUGAUAUAGACAGCAGGACGGUGGUCAUGGAAGU
rnacentral:rRNA from 1 species